CGGACGGGUGAGUAAUGUCUGGGAAACUGCCUGAUGGAGGGGGAUAACUACUGGAAACGGUAGCUAAUACCGCAUAACGUCGCAAGACCAAAGAGGGGGACCUUAGGGCCUCUUGCCAUCGGAUGUGCCCAGAUGGGAUUAGCUUGUUGGUGGGGUAACGGCUCACCAGGCGACGAUCCCUAGCUGGUCUGAGAGGAUGACCAGCCACACUGGAACUGAGACACGGUCCAG
rnacentral:rRNA from 1 species